CACUAGUGAGAAGAGGGAAGUACAGGGCAUCAUUUCAGAAAAAGGUGGAGGCCUAAAAACAAAACCAUGUUUUUGGCCCGAUUCCUGAUUAGGAGUGAGGAAACUCAGGCUUUUUCAGUAACUUUCAGAUUUUUUCCCAAUCCUUCUACCCUGAGACAAGAUUUUAUAAAGGUCCUAGUCCAUGAAUUUUCCCCAGCCCAUUAAAUACCUCACCAGCUCCCCUUCUCCUCAUGCUCCCAAACUGGCGUUUAUUCUUAUUCCAGGAGAUGCUGUAAUGGGUGAUCUACAGCGCUGAGAUGAGGAAAAUGGGGGCAGACCAGCACGUUUAAGGUCAUUCCAUUCCUGUUGUCUAUCUUUCACCUGAAGACCCCCACUCAUCUUUUCAAAUAUCCACUCAGCAUGACUAAGCCACAGGCACAUUGUAAUGUGCUGGGGGCACAUUAGAAAAUAAAGAAAUGGUUUUUACCAACAUGGAACUUAGCAGAAGGAAAAGCCCCAAAAAAGGAAAGAAAAAAUAUGUGAUUAAUUACAAAUAAUAACUUUUAUGAAAGAAAUUCUGUACAGUGACAGAAAAUAACAAGGAGAGAAUGUGUUUAGAGUGAAUAGUUAGAAAAGGCCUCUCUGAGGUGCUGAAGUUGAAGCACAGGCCUGAAGGAUGAGAAGUCAGAUGUAUUAAUAGCAGAGGAGAGGGUUGGGUGUGGUGGCUCAUGCUUGUAAUCCCAGCACUUUGGGAGGCCAAGGCGGGCGGAUCACCUGAGAUCAGGAGUUCGAGACCAGCCUGGCCAACAUGGUGAAACCCCAUCUCUACUAAAAAUACAAAAAUUAGCCAGGUGUGGUGGCACACACCUGUAAUCCCAGGUACUCAGGAGGCUGAGGCAAGAGAAUCGCUUGAGCCUGGAGGCAGAGGUUGCAGUGAGCUGAGAUCGCACCACUGCACUCCAGCCUGGAUGACAAAGCAAAACUCAGUAAAAAAGCAGAGGAGAGAUCAUUCCAGGAAGAGAAUGCGGGUUAUGUAAAGACUCUGAGACACAAAAGGUGCUGAGUUGUUUGAGAACUUAAAAAGAGGCAGUGUGGCAGGAGUUAACUUUUGGACAAGAGACAUUUGCAAUGCCUGUGAGGUAUCCAAAGGGAGAUGUCAAGUAGACAGUUGAAUUCACCAAAGUGAGUCAGGGAAGUUUUAGCUGGAGAUAUUCAUUUGGUGUCAUCAGAACAUAAAUGUUAUUUAAAGCCACGGGGAUAGACAAGAUUGCUUAGGGAGAUAAUAUGAAGAAAGACAAGAGGAGGACCCAGGACCAAGUCAUGAGGAACUCCACACUUGUCUCAGGUGGAAAAGAAGGCAUCUUCAGAGAAGGCUGAGAAGUAGCAGCCAGAGAGGAGCCCUGGUAUUCCUUGAACAUGCAUACCUUUCCCAGCGUGAGGGACAUGGACCGUGCCGUGCGAGGGACCCCAUCUUCUGCAGCAGGAGGGAGCAGAGAAGAGAACACAGGGAUUCCUGUUGCUAAAAGGUCUGUUUUCUCCUGCUAGCCACCCUCAUCAGCCAGAGUUCAAACCCUGACAGUGCCCAUGGAGAGAUCUGGUCCAAGGCACCAACCUCUUCCUGCUGGACUGAGAAAGAGCCUCCUACUGUGUCUCUCUUUACCUCAGCUUUUGCACACCUCCAAUAUAUUGUCCACUGAAGUCAGAAUAAUCUAAAAAUAAAGGCUGAUUACCUCAUGUGGUAUAAACUU
rnacentral:lncRNA from 1 species